CGCGCACGGAGCAAGAGCCACGCCAGCUUAGGUAGCUUCAGGUGAGGAAGGUGGGGUGCUUCUGCAGGGCCCUAGCUUGGAGCUGAAGCUUCAUUACUCCGUGUGUUAGGCUCCAUGCAGGAGUCCAGACGGAAGCAUUAGUCUUGGGGAGGGCUGUGGGACUGAUGCGGUUCUGUCCACAGAGUGUGAUGCAGUGACGCCUCCAAAGAACCAUGGCAGCAGCCGACGAUCUGGCCUUCCACGAGUUCGAGGAAGCUGCAAAUCUUCUGGCAGAAACCCCAGAUGCAGCAACCACGAGCCAAAGUGAUAAGCUGACCUCACAAGAGCAUGUGGCUGUGGUUGUGGGUUCAGGCAUUGGCUAUGGAGCCGAAGGAGAGGAAGAGGAUGACAAAACAUCACUUCUACAGGAUGAAAAGCCACAGCCAAGAUUCUGGACGUUUGACUACUAUCAGAGCUUUUUUGAUGUAGACACCUCCCAGGUCUUGGACAGGAUCAAAGGUUCCCUGCUGCCCCAUCCUGGCCACAACUUUGUGCGUCACCAUCUUAGAAAUCGUCCUGACUUAUAUGGCCCCUUCUGGAUUUGUGCCACCCUGGCCUUCGUCCUGGCGGUUACUGGCAAUCUCACUUUGGUGCUUGCACAGAGACGGGACCCCUCCAUUCACUAUAGCCCCCAGUUCCACAAGGGUAAGCAGAGCGGGUGGGCUCAGCUCUUGGAUGCCAGGGUCCAAGGGCAUGCAGUGACUGCCCACAUUGCAUCUCUAGUGACUAUAGCAGGCAUAACCAUCUACUGCUAUGC
rnacentral:lncRNA from 1 species